ACUGCAGCCUCGACCUCCUGGGCUCAAUUGAUUCUCCUCCUCAGCCUUCCAAGUAGCUGGGACCACACACGUGUGCACCAUCAUGCCUGGCUAAUUUUUAAAUUAUUUGUAGAGACAGGGUCUCCCUGUGUCGCCCGGGCUGGUAACUCCCGGGCUCAAGAGAUCCUUCCACCUCAGCCUCCCAAAGUGCUGGGAUUACAAGCAUGAGCCACCGUGCCUGGCUGAGACCUGGAAAAUGUUAUAGACAGGAGAGUCAGUUUACCAGCACACACUGGUUAUAAGUGUGUGUUUGUGACCUGGUCUGCUUCUAAUGGUAAGUCAUUUUUGCAAAUAAAACAAAUAUUGGUAAGUUUGUACACAUAGGAUACUUAUACAAGUCCUAUGAGCAGUGUCGGAAAAAAAUAACAAAUUUUGAAAGCAAAAUAAGUCUUGAAACUGGCAAUUCCAACAAGUGAUUCUAUGAACCUUGUUAGUGAGUCUGAAUGUUAGUUAUUUGAACACUUCCCAGUAAUGAUUGCUGGCAUUUCCAC
rnacentral:lncRNA from 1 species